rnacentral:misc_RNA from 1 species
GUGAGAGGAAUUGGGCACUAGCUUGUAGCUACAAUUACUUUAAUUUCUAAUGUUUAUGGACCCCAUCGAUAAUUUUAAUAUAAGUGUUCAGCUAAUCCACCUGCAUGUAAUUUCCACACUAGAAAUGCUCAAAGUGAAGUACGAGGAAUGCACAACUUAGUUGCUCUAAACAAAUAAUCAUCAUGAAUGACAAAGCCAAUAAGAUCACAAUAAUAUACCAAAAUUAGGAUAAGUAGAAUACUCACCAUUCAAUUACCUGUGCAGUGCACUCAUCACAUGAAGAGUAGUAGCUAUGACUAAGUGCAUUAGCAACUUUAUUUUCAACACCAGAAUGAUAUUUAAGAACAAAAGAGUAUUCAUUCGGAAACUCAAUCUAACCAACAUGUCUAGAAUUUAAUUUCUUUUGAGAAUCAAAUAUCUUAAUUUAAUUCUUGAUGGUCAACAAAUAGAACAAAUUCUUGUGG